CUGCUGUGAGUCACCAAGUGCAAACAGGAUGAUAACAGAGUUAGGCUCAGAAAAAAACAUCCCUUCGGAGACACAGAAGGCAGCACACCACAGAACACUGGCUCCUUUCUACAGAAAAAGGAAACCAAGCAAAGUUCCUUCAGCAAGUUGAGGCCUCCUGGGAAGGAAAUCGGCAAAGGACCCACUUCUGCCUAGACCAGACUAGAGCUGUCCAGAACAAAUGCAAAGCAACAAGAAGCCAGUGAAGACUACGAAUGAAAAAUGAUUUGAUCAUAUUUUCCAUUUAUAAGUUAUAUGUGGCUAAGGGACAUCUAAGGCAGAGGUACAACAUGACUGAAGCGACACGUGUCACAUCCAGGUAGACGCCUUGGAGAGCGGGUGCCACAUUCCCUGACACUUCCAGAGUAACCGACAAUGCCUGACACCAUGGAGCCUUCAUGAGCCUGUGCACCUGAGGACUAGGACAUGGGGAAGGGCCUCCAGCUGACCUGUGGUGGUCAUAAAGCAUCAUUCUGCGGCCAGUUCAUAGGACUCCAGGGACCUUGAGACUGAAGCACAUUCUACAAAUAAAGUCAAAUGCAGUGAGUAAUCUCAGCUCAGCGCAGCUGAGAGGGCACAGGUCAGGCCUGGAAGUCAUCAGAUGAAAAAUCAGACCAAAAAUUAAAAUGAGAAUACUGGCAGCUAGUGAAAUACCAAAAAAUGACAAUUCCUUCACUUGGUCCUCCCUGCCUUUCCAGACCACGAUCUCUCACGCUGCACUCAACUUGCAAGGAGAUCCUUCUCUAUGCAGAGAUCAUACAGGACUUCAGGUGCUUGCGAGAGCAUAUGGUGUAUUCUUUGCCCCUGGGAACCUUCUCUUUUGGACAUCAGCAGAAUCCUUACAAGCCCUAGUGUUGCUCUAGUCUAGACUAAGUGGAUCACUGUCCAGGGAAUCAGACCUAUUGAUGACUCUCAAAAUUUCACUAAAGGGAUACUUAUACAAACAUCAAACUGCAGAGUCAUUUAUCAGCUCUGUGUACAGAUAAAUCAUCAUCCAGGGAGAGGACAUUUCAACCAGAAAAGAUAAGGAAGUUUAGCUAAGCUGUCUGAAGAAAGUCAGUGAAGGUUGAAUAAGGAUAAAGGGAGGCCUCCCUAUUAGGACAUGAAGAGAAAAAGGGAAAUUCCCCAAAUAAGAAAAAAAUUGGGACAAGGCCAGUCAAUUACAGAGACUGCCCUGAAAAGACUGGCCAAUGUGAGCUGACCCUGGAGCUGAGACUAAAAGUUAAAUGCCAAAGUCUCUGUCUCAGAGGUCAGCUGGUGCCUGAGACCCAGCAUCGGGGUUAUUAGGCCAUAGCUGGAGGCUUCCUGGCUCAGCCUCACUCCCCAAAGGGCCAUUGCUAUCCAAUAGGCCAAUAGUUGCUAAAUCCAACUAAACAAGAUGAAUUAUAUAAUCUUUCUCUGCGGGGGUUUUAUGAUUAGAUAAGAUUUGCAUAGAGACUUCAGGAAGGCCACCCUUAGACUUUGGAUUAAUAUUCACUCUCUCAUAAUUGUAUGCAUUAUCUCCUAGAUAGAAUUCACCUGAUUAUAAGGGAAAAAAAGAAGUGAGAUAGUCUGAAAAAUACUCAAAGACAUGCUGCCACUUAAUAAAAGCUAAAAGUUUCAGCCUAAAUGUUCCUUUUUAAUGAAGAUCUUGGUGCAGCUGAAAUGGGAUGAUUCAAUUCUAACACAUCUAAAGAAAUUUACCAUAGUUAGCAGAACAGAUUUGCUUCUUCUCAGUGAAAUUAUCUUUCAUCUUUCUCAAUGUUUAUAAAAGUAGGAUCUUUAAAAGUCUACAUUAUAAAGCAAAAAAAGAAAAAAAAGAAAACUGUUCCACAGCUGAAAACCAAAAA